rnacentral:rRNA from 1 species
AGCGAACGUUAGCGGCGGGCUUAACACAUGCAAGUCGCACGAGAUAGGGGACUUCGGUCCCUGUGUAAAGUGGCGGACGGGUGCGUAACACGUGGCUAACCUGCCCUCCAGUUGGGGAUAACUGUCCGAAAGGAUAGCUAAUACCGAAUUCGUCGGCUGGGUCUUCGGACCUGGUCGGGAAAGCCGGCCUCUACAUGUAAGCUGGCGCUGGAGGAGGGGGCCGCGGCCCAUCAGCUAGUUGGUGAGGUAACGGCUCACCAAGGCUAAGACGGGUAGCUGGUCUGAGAGGAUGAUCAGCCACACUGGGACUGAGACACGGCCCAGACUCCUACGGGUGGCAG